UGUGCGGCCGAAGUUUGCGACUUUCCCGCGGGGGCUCGCCCGGGGGCGGUGGAGGGGGAAGAGCGAGAGAACCCCAGAAACGGUUGCUCAGGGGUUAAAAAGUUUCCUCGCUGCCAGAUUGGGGUGAGGCUGACGGGAAAGCAAGGAGGGAGGGACGAGGUGAAGACUUUUGCCCCGGGGGAGAGUUAAAAGGUAAAACAUGGAAUAACAACUUUAAAAAAAAAAAGAGGGGGGGGGGGGUGGAAGCUCUGUCUCCUCGCUUGGAGGGAGGCGACUGGAGAUUGCACUUGGUUUCCAAACGCGCUUAUCCCGCGCCGUUCAGCCCAGCUCCGCGGCGGCGGAGAGUCGCGCAAGGAGGCAGUCACUUCGUGGCUGGUAUUGGAAGCGGGGCCGGCUGCUUUCCUGUUGCAAUGGACGCGAGGUCUUGCCGGCAGCGCCGUCCUCCUCACUGCUCUGGGCGCCCAGGAGGUGACUCGCUUCGGGGGGAACGGGGAAGGAGCGGGAGGUGUUGAUCUUCCCGCUGAACCGCUGGUACAGUGAAGCCAUGAAGUCAAUCCGCGGGAAACGAGGGGGAGGGAGGGAAAGAGAAGCGCUUCUUCUUCUCUUUAAUUUUUUUUCCCCUCUCCCCCUCCUCUCUUCUUUUUUGGCUACAGCAUGCUACACGCGAGCAAGGUUCAGUCCCACAUCAGUGGAAGGGAAAGAGAGAGCUCCUGCUCCCCGGUCCUCUGCACCGGCACCCGGAGAGAAGCGGGUGGAGGGGGAUCGAGAGAGCAGGGAGGGGGCGAGUGGUGGGGUGGGAGAGAAGAUAAAAUAAAUAAAUAAUGAAAAGCAAUCGAGUCGUAACACCACAGACCCCGGGAAUGCUGCACCAUCCAGUGUUGGGAAAGAGAAAAAAAAAAAAAAUAAAAAAAAAGAAACAGCAAAACACUCCACGGAGACGUACCCCCGAUAAUGGCGCCUGAGUGGAUCAGCAUUAAAUGUGCUUGGGGGGUGUGCGUGUGUGUUUGCAAAAGCAAGAGGAAAAAAAAAAAAAAAUAUAAAA